ACAGACAUUUAUCUACCUGUGUAACCAAAAUAGCUAAAUCGCUACUGGACAGCCAGCAUGGACGAGUCUUUGAAGGACUACGCAUACUGCAAGGUUCUGGGCGAAUGGCCCCGGUACUUUCAGUUGGCUGAGGUGGAGCAGAAAGUGGCUUGUGAAGUGGAGAGACUUAAAAAAAUAAUGUCCCUCGACACUUCAGAACAAACAUCACAGCUGG